ACGGGAGGCAGCAGUGGGGAAUAUUGCACAAUGGGCGCAAGCCUGAUGCAGCGAUGCCGCGUGAGGGAAGAAGGUUUUCGGAUUGUAAACCUCUGUCAACAGGGACGAAAAUGACGGUACCUGACUAAGAAGCCCCGGCCAACUACGUGCCAGCAGCCGCGGUAAUACGUAGGGGGCAAGCGUUAUCCGGAUUUACUGGGUGUAAAGGGAGCGUAGACGGUAAGGCAAGUCUGAAGUGAAAUGCGGGGGCUCAACCCCUGAACUGCUUUGGAAACUGUUUUACUAGAGUGCAGGAGAGGUAAGUGGAAUUCCUAGUGUAGCGGUGAAAUGCGUAGAUAUUAGGAGGAACACCAGUGGCGAAGGCGGCUUACUGGACUGUAACUGACGUUGAGGCUCGAAAGCGUGGGGAGCAAACAGGAUUAGAUACCCUGGUA
rnacentral:rRNA from 1 species